ACAAUUCAGUUCACAAUUUAACCAUUCAACGUUUCCUUAAGCCGGUAAUUUCUAUAUUUGUACAGUGAGAUAUGAUGUGGAAGGUGAUAUUACUAGUGAGCAUGAUAGAACUUGUUAGCGCUGAUGUUGUGGCACUUGGAGGGGAGGAUGGAGAGGGCCCUUCCCCUUGUGUGAGGGUCUGCUCUGGAUCUACUGGUCGAGAUAAGACGCCCUGGAAAGACCACGAACUAAACGGGAUCCAAACCAAAGUGGACAUCAGUCGGUGUGGGUUUACGAGGACUCCAACCAUAACGACCUCUCUGGAGGGGGUGUCCGCACAUUGGACUCUAUCAGGAACCUCGGCAGUAUACCACUCAACCCCUACAUCCUUCACCUCCUUCAUCGGGGGUAAUACAAAAGACGUACGGAAGGAAAAGCAGCACUUCACAAAUGGAAUGUUCAAUUCAUAGCGGUUGGAUACGUGUGCUAAACCAUUGUGUUAAAUCAAUAUGUAGGAAGGUGACAUCGAUUUAAAACUGUUUUCGUUAAA